GUGCUCUCUUUGGCAGCACAUAUACUAAAAUAGGAAGGAUACAGAGAAGAUUAGCAUGGCCCUCGCGCAAGGAUGACACUCAAAUUCUUGAAGCGUUCCAUAUUCAA
ensembl:snRNA U6 U6 spliceosomal RNA